AGAGAUGUCAGCCACUGGACUGGAACCGGGUUCAGAUCCUACGAAGCAGCAGAGGGAAUAUGCCAUUGACGCAGCUGAUGCAGGCAUGCGCGUGUAUGAGGAAGCCUCGGGUGUAAGUACUUCAGCGAGGAGGAAGGCAUUCAAGUAAUAACUCAGUGAUGACGUUACUCGCAGAAGAAGCACGGCUACUCCGUGCCAGCAGCCGCGGUAUACGGAGGGUGCAAAGCGUAUCGGGAAUUACUGGGCGUAAAGCGCACGCAGGCCGGUCUGUCAAGUCAGGAUGGUGAAAUCCCCGGGCUCAACCCUGGGAACUGCAUUCGAAACUGCCAGGCUAGAGUCUUGUAGAGGGGGGUAGAUUUCCAGGUGUAGCGGUGAAAUGCGUAGAGAUCUGGAGGAAUACCGGUGGCGAAGGCGGCCCCCUGGACAAAGACUGACGCUCAGGUGCGAAAGCGUGGGGAGCAAACAGGAUUAGAUACCCUGGUAGUCCACGCCGUAAACGAUGUCGACUUGGAGGUUGUUCCCUUGAGGAGUGGCUUCCGGAGCUAACGCGUUAAGUCGACCGCCUGGGGAGUACGGCCGCAAGGUUAAAACUCAAAUGAAUUGACGGGGGCCCGCACAAGCGGUGGAGCAUGUGGUUUAAUUCGAUGCAACGCGAAGACCCUUACCUACUCUUGACAUCCACGGAAUUUAGCAGAGAUGCUUUAGUCCCUUCGGGAACCGUGAGCCAGGUGCUGCAUGGCUGUCGUCAGCUCGUGUUGUGAAAUGUUGGGUUAAGUCCCGCAACGAGCGCAACCCUUAUCCUUUGUUGCCAGCGGUUCGGCCGGGAACUCAAAGGAGACUGCCAGUGAUAAACUGGAGGAAGGUGGGGAUGACGUCAAGUCAUCAUGGCCCUUACGAGUAGGGCUACACACGUGCUACAAUGGCGUAUACAAAGAGAAGCGACCUCGCGAGAGCAAGCGGACCUCAUAAAGUACGUCGUAGUCCGGAUUGGAGUCUGCAACUCGACUCCAUGAAGUCGGAAUCGCUAGUAAUCGUAGAUCAGAAUGCUACGGUGAAUACGUUCCCGGGCCUUGUACACACCGCCCGUCACACCAUGGGAGUGGGUUGCAAAAGAAGUAAGUAGCUUAACCUUCGGGAGGGCGCUUACCAC
rnacentral:rRNA from 1 species